rnacentral:rRNA from 1 species
AUUGAACGCUGGCGGCAUGCCUUACACAUGCAAGUCGAACGGCAGCACGGGGGCAACCCUGGUGGCGAGUGGCGAACGGGUGAGUAACGCAUCGGAAUGUACCCAGUAGUGGGGGAUAACUAGUCGAAAGAUUAGCUAAUACCGCAUACGCACUGAGGUGGAAAGCGGGGGAUCGCAAGACCUCGCGCUAUUGGAGCAGCCGAUGUCCGAUUAGGUAGUUGGUGGGGUAAAGGCCUACCAAGCCUGCGAUCGGUAACUGGUCUGAGAGGACGACCAGUCACACUGGGACUGAGACACGGCCCAGACUCCUACGGGAGGCAGCAGUGGGGAAUUUUGGACAAUGGGCGCAAGCCUGAUCCAGCAAUGCCGCGUGUGUGAAGAAGGCCUCGGUU